rnacentral:rRNA from 1 species
UACGUAGGGGGCGAGCGUUGUCCGGAAUCAUUGGGCGUAAAGCGCGUGUAGGCGGCUCGGCAAGUCUGGUGUGAAAACGAGAGGCUCAACCUCUCGCUGUCGCUGGAUACUGCCGGGCUUGAGUCCGGAAGAGGAGAGUGGAAUUCCUGGUGUAGCGGUGGAAUGCGCAGAUAUCAGGAGGAACACCAAUGGCGAAGGCAGCUCUCUGGUACGUGACUGACGCUGAGACGCGAAAGCGUGGGGAGCGAACAGG